rnacentral:rRNA from 1 species
GAUGAACGUUAGCGGCAGGCCUAAUACAUGCAAGUCGAACGGUGUCUUCGGACAUAGUGGCGCACGGGUGCGUAACACGUAUGCAACCUACCUUACAUUGGGGGAUAGCCUUUCGAAAGGGAGAUUAAUACCGCAUAAGACAGUAGCUGGGCAUCCAGCAGCUGUUAAAGAUUUAUCGAUGUAAGCUGGGCAUGCGUCCAAUUAGCUAGUUGGUGAGGUAACGGCUCACCAAGGCAAUGAUUGGUAGGGGAACUGAGAGGUCAAUCCCCCACACUGGCACUGAGAUACGGGCCAGACUCCUACGGGAGGCAGCAGUAGGGAAUAUUGGGCAAUGGACGCAAGUCUGACCCAGCCAUGCCGCGUGCAGGAUGAAGGCGUUAUGCGUUGUAAACUGCUUUUAUACAGGGAGAAACGACUCUUGCGAGAGGCAUUGACGGUACUGUAUGAAUAAGCACCGGCUAACUCCGUGCCAGCCGCCGCAGUAAGAC